AUGUGGACCUGUCUUCGUCAGCGCUAUGAGCCCUCUGGUGAUGCCUUAUACCUUUCUGUGGUUCGUCAGGAGCAUGCUCUUCAGCAGGGUGACUCUACUGUUGAUGACUUUUAUGCACAGAGUUCUGCUAUCUGGCGCCAGCUUGAUUCUCUCCGCAGUGCUGGUUGUCGUACUUGCCCCUGCUGCCAGGCUAUCCAGGCCGAUUUGGAGUUUCAUCGCGUCUACGAGUUCCUGUCUCGGCUCCGUAAGGAGUUUGAGCCCCGGCGUGCUCAGUUGUUUGCUCGUGGCCGUAUUUCUCUCAUGGAGGCGCUUUCAGAGAUUCGUGCUGAGGAGACUCGCCUACGUGGUGCUGGUUUGCUGGAGGUUCCCUCUGUGCUCGCUACUCGGGCUUCUUCCACUCCACCUGCUGCACCGCCCCAUUCUCGCUCGAGUGCUCCGCCGCUCUUGCCCACUCCUUCUGGAGGCUCAGGUCGCCCCCGUCCACACUGUGACUACUGCAACAAUGAUGGUCAUAUUGAGUCCCAGUGCUACACAAAGCGGAAACACCUGCGCAAGGCGCGAUCAUCCUCCUCAGGGACUUCGUCA
rnacentral:rRNA from 1 species